rnacentral:lncRNA from 1 species
UUGGCAUGCCUGUUUUAGGUUUAAUUCAGUUCCCAUGUUUUUUUUUUGUGCACACCACAAUCCAUUAAUUAUUCUUGCAUGGAUAGAGCAUCAGUCAUAUGAUUUUUCACAAAGAAAGCUUACCUAGAUAGGUACCAGAACAUUGGCAGCGGAAAGCAGACUCAUUACCUACACUUGCUUUGCCUGCUCACUUUCUACUGUUGCCUUCAAUGGACAAUAUUUAUGAAGUAAGAAGGUUUUAUGAUUAUAGGUUUUAAAUAAGUACUUUACUUAAUGUCAUCAGUUAGUAUUAAAUAGUAGUUCAGUGCCAAACGAAAAAUCCAUGCACUAUGCCAGAUGCCUCGGGGGCUCUUAUCCGCUCUGGGUUCAGAGUGCAGUGGCAUACCACGCUCACCCUCAACCAGAGCUGAUAGAUAGUGAAAAUGCCAGACGUUGUGAUAUCUGCACCAGUGAACCGUGUCGCACAUUUGAUCCCAAUAAUGAACAGCACAGGGGUGACGUAAAAAUCUUUAAAGACUAGUAUCUUUUGAAAUUGAAAUUUGCCUCUCAGUCUCUCAAGAAUCAAGAUGCCAAAUAGAUGUGCAGGAUUUGAUUGCUGACAAACCAGGGAUGAGGCUCAAGAGUCAAGAGAUCACCCUGCAUUGGCAAGUGGCUGGAACAACCCCAGUGCCGCACAGUUCUGCGGGAUAUUCCGGCACCUGCUCCACCGCUGCGGCGUCCGGCCCGGCAGCACAGGGAAAGUGGCAGCCCUCGACCCGACCAGCAUCCUGGCAGUCGGUCACACGACCAGCGGACGGGGAGCCAGCCUUACUACCUCGGCCUCCACCACCUCAGACAACGGUGCCACGGCACUCCACAUCAUCACGGAGCACGACUUCCAGCCUGGGCUGUCGUCUGGUGGGCAACAUCGUCACCUACAUCGCAGGGUUCGUGGUGAAGAAGGCGCUCGACUCUGUCAGCUGUAGCACCUGUCAGGAGGCCCUGGUGAGCGACAUCCAGCCGGACGACAUGACACAGCUUUACCACCUCUUCAUCAUCUCUGCCAGAUGAGCUAAGGUGGGGACGGGUUACAUGCCUGGGAUCUGACUGAGACCCGCUCAUACCCUGCCGAAGUGUUGGUGAUUUCAGCGGUCAGCUGUCUCUAGCCGGUGUCAGUGAGUCGCGGCCAGCUGCCGCUGGAGUGGGUAUCUACCGUCGAUAGCUGCUGUGUGGCGGAUAGCGUGGAUUUGGAUGGACACUUCAUAUUAAUGAACAGAUCAAUGUCUGGCCGAUAAAAGACGUAUUUUGUCGAUGAUUGCUUAGUGACUGAGUGGGUCCACUGGCGACCAAUGCAGUGGGCGCUGGGUUAACGCCUCGCCUCUUGUGACCGUGUCGAUAUGUAGCACUGUUAAUUGCCGAUUCGUUGCCGGCCGUCUCUGCUCCGUGGCUGGCUGAUCCGGCACAAACUGGUGUUCGUGGCUGAAGGCGCGGCUACAGUUACACUAGCUCGCCACGUGCCUGUGCAACUAUCGUCGGUGCUGUCUGCAAGGGCGAUGUCGGUGCCUGUAGGGGGCGCGGAUUGAUUCAAAGUGAGGAAUGGGUCAUCGGAGCUCGGGUCAGGUCAUGUUCGUCUAAAAUAAGCGGAUUUUGCGAUUUGCCGCAUCCGGGUGAAUUUCCUUGCCUUCUAGUGCAUGUUUAUGCAUUUUACAUGCGUUUUUUUUUAGUGUUGAUGUCUAGAUAACGUGCAUUUGCCUCGAGGUCAAGGCUGCGCUUCAUAUGGGCAGUUUUCGGAGCAUCUUGCUCAUUUCAUUCGUAAUUCUUAAUUAUGUUUGCGGAUUUGUGCCCGCAAAUCAUUUUUUAAAGUAAGAUUGACACGGGAUUCGAGAUCGGCGCCCAUAAAUACACUUCACAUGACC